CCCGUUGGUUGGACAUACAGUAUGUCUAAUCCUGUCUCUGCAGGUUUUGGAACAGGAGGGCAGCUCUUUCAGUUGAAGAAACCUCCAAGUGGAAACAAAAGAAGAAAAAUGAUACCAGGGCAGUGCUUCUGAACCACUAUAGAAAGAUUCUGCGCUCCCUCUUCCUCUCAGCUGUGAACCCUCAUUCAAACCACGCACCCAGGAACUGGAGAAUGAAGAGGAUGUCAGCUUCUAUCAAGCAGUAAUAGAUUCUAGCAUUGAAAAUCUGAUUAGGUGCUAUCUCUGCCCAGUGUGUAUCUCAGAAGAGGGUUUGACUUAAGCCGAGGGAAUAAGUAAGGACAAAACAAUCAAACAACGUAUUUCUUAACAAAUAAACACUGAGUCUAAAUGAA